rnacentral:rRNA from 1 species
UAAAGUCUGGCCUGCCCAUUGGAAUCUAAAAGGCCGCGGUAUUAUGACCGUGCUAAGGUAGCAUAAUCAUUAGUCUUUUAAUUGGAGGCUGGUAUGAAUGGUUGGACAAGAAAUAAGCUGUCUUAAAUAAAAAUAUUGAAUUUAACUUUUAAGUGAAAAGGCUUAAAUUUUCUAAGG